rnacentral:lncRNA from 1 species
GGUCCCCAGACCUGAGCCCACAACUCCUGAGGGGAAUUUAGGUUAAAAUAGAAUUUGGGACUUCCUAGUUUUUCUCUUCCCUAAACCUAUCAUUCCAAAAUACCAAAAGAAUAAAUAGAUCUUUUUAACCCAGAAGAAACUGAACAUCUUAUUCUACUAAUGUUACUAAGGGGAUCAGGAUAAUAUCUAUCAAGGGAAGAAAUUAGAAACCAGAGACCGAAGGGGAUUUCCUCCUUACCUUUCAGCUCUAGACCUUGAUUAAAUCUCUCACCUUCCCUUGUGUAGCUCUACCUAGGAGAGGAAGUAAUGUUUCCUUUUAUCUGUCCCCUCUCUCUCUUAGGCCUUUCAAACUUUGGUUCCUGAUCCCCUGCUAGCACAGUAUUAUGGAAAUAACAUGAAACAAGAGUCAAGAAACCUGAGUUUGGAUUCUGCUACAAGAAAAAGGUUUCCUGAGGGGAAGUGGUGAAGGGGAAAGGAUAUAUCUGUAGCUAAAGAAAUCAAAGCAAACAGAAGCUGUUACUUGCCUGAUAUCACCCAACUAGUAAGUGUCAAAGACUGGAUGUGAAUGCAGGUCUUUCUGAUUCUAGACUAAGCUCUAUUCACU